UUUUUUUUUUUUUUUUUUUUUUUUUUUUUUUUUUCUUUUUAUGGCUGUACAUGUGGCAUACGGAAAUUCUCAGGCUAGGGGUUGGAAUCGGAGCUACAUCUCCAGCCUAUGCCACAGCCACAGCAGUGUGGGAUUUGAGCCAUAUCUGCAGCCUAUACCACAGCUCACAUGAGUUAAGGAUCUGGCGUUGCCAUGAGCCGUGGUGUAGGUCUCAGGUAUGGCUCAGAUUUGGUGUUGCUGUGGCUCUGGUGUAGGCUGGCAGCUAUAGCUCCUAUUAGACCCCUGGCCUGGGAACCUCCAUAUGCUGUAGGUGUGGCCCUAAAAAGACAAAAGACAAAAAAAAAAAAAGUUGAAAAAAUGAUAGACUUGCUCAUGUAGAACAUAUUGAAAAAUAGGAACGGUGAGAGUUCCCAUUGUGACACAGUGAAUUACCAAUCCAACUGCAGUGACUCAAAUCUCUGUGGAGGUGCAGAUUCAAUCCUUGGCCCAUUGCAGUGGGUUCAGGAUCUGGGAUUACUGCAGCUGUGGUACAAGUUGCAGCUGCACCUUGGAUUCCAUCCCUGGCCCAGGAACUCCCGUAUGACACAGGUGUGGCCAUAAAGAAAUAAAUCAAAAAUAAAUAAAAAGAAUAAAAUAAAAAUUCUUCAUAUACCUAUUUUCUAGAGAUUAGCAAUGUUACCAUCAUAGUUUUUCACCACCUAGCCUUGUGUUCUGUUUAUACAAGGGACAGUCUUGUACCUUCUGUUUUGCAAUCCGUUUUAUUAAUUUCAGAAUAGAUCAUGAAAAGUUUAUAUCAAUAAAUAUUUUCUACCAUAUUAUUUAUGUUGGUAUGCUAUUUCAUUUGUAUAAGAUAACAUAUUCAACUAAUCUCAUAUUAUGGGAUACUCAGGGUAAUUCUAGUUAGUUUAUAUUGUAAAUAGCACGGUAGUGAUUAUUCUUGCAAAUAGUUUUGCGCCCAUCUAUGGUUGUGUCCUUAGACUAAAUUUCUAAAUUAAAGGAUAAGCAAAAUGCUAUCUCAUUUUAAAAAAAUGUUCACUGACAGUUGCCCUGCAGGACAUUAUACUAGCAUACAAUCCAAGCAGGGCUUUCCCCAAUAUCUCACCAGCUCUUUAAAGCCACUUAGAAAAAUGUUUAGUAAUUUAGGGAGGGUGUGUGUGUGUGUGUGUGUACGCGUAUUACUUGAAAGUAGAAAUUAUACUAUUUGUGUGAAGAAUCACUAAAUUUUUAUCAUGGAAUUCUGUCCCUUAAAUGUCCCAAUUGGGAAUUAAUAUUAAAUUAAAAUAAUAUUUACGUUUUAAUAAUAAUAGAAGGGCAGAGUGUUUUUAAAUCAGGUACUGCAUCUAAAAUUUUAUCUUAUAAACCAUACUCUUAAUUUGGGGGUUGAGAUAUGCUAGCUCUUUCUUCUGAUUCUGAAACCAUAUGGAUCAGUUUCCUAAGUUUGCUAUAAUAAAUCACUACAUGUUUUAAUUGCUUCAAACAAGAGAAGUGUAUUCUCUCCAUAGUUUUGGAAGCCCAAAGUCAGGAUGUCAGCUGGACCAUAAUCUUUCAAAACCUCCAGGACAAGAUCCUUCCCAUACCUCUCUAUGCUUCUGGCAGCACCUCCUUAGCUGGAGGCACCUGAAUUCUCAGCUUUGCCUCCAACUUCACAUGCUAUCUUCCUGGUGAGCUCUAUCUCUAAAAUUCCCGUUAAAAAAAAAAAAGACACCAGUCAAGCUGGAUAUUAGGGCUCACCCUGCUCCAGUACAACCUCAUCUUAACUGGAUUACAUCUGCAAAGAUUCUUAUUUAUAAAGUAAAGGCACAUUCAUACAGGAUCAGAACUUCAAUCAAGCUCUCUUUGGAGGACGCAUUUUAACUCAUAACCCAAUAUAUCUUAAAUUUUAUCCCAUAAAUUAUCUAUUUUGAUAAUGAGAGAAGUAGUUCUUAUUUGUAUGUCAAUAAUUUGAAUAGUUUUACCUUAUGCAAGGGGAAAUUAAAAGAUCAAGCUUUCUAAAAGGCUUGAUUUAGCAUCCUGUGACUUCUGUCUAUUCCAGAGACCUUAUUAUAUACAACUAAUAGGAAAAUUAAAAUACACUGAGGAUUUUCUGAGACAUGCCAUUGGUGUCACAGGUGUCUAGAUGAUGACAGAAGGCAGUAAAGAAAAUUCCAGCUCAUUCAGAUCUCUGUCCAUACCAGUAGUUAGGAAAAUGCUUUAUAAAUCUGUCUAACUACUUCAUAAUAACCAAACCAGCUUGCAUAAAUAGGAAGUAUAUGAAUUUUAGCAAGUUCAGCUUUUAGCAAUAUACAGUAAAAUUAUAGUAAUAACCAGCUUUCAUCAGUGAAAAGUCUUAGCCACUGCUGUUAAAAAGAAAGUCAUUUUUUAUCUGGUCUGGAUAUCUUUUUUCUCUGCUUUAAGUUCUAUUGAUGCUUUUCUCUUUUUGAAUUUCUUUUCCAUGAUAGCUUAUUAUGGGAUGUCACAUUCUUUUUACUAGGGCACGUACUACUAUUUGUAACAGUCCUAUCUGCUGAUAGAGAAGCUCAAAUUUCACUUUAAAUCCAAUGAUAGUGUAUUACUGAUGAAGUAUUGCUUCCUUAGGGCACAAACCUCUAAAUGCUAUCUGCUGUCUUUAUUAUCCAGCUUCACUUAGCCUGAAGGUCUCUGUAUUAUUAGGAUGGAUUCUAACAUGUUUUCUCCCUUACGUUAAAGAGAGGAAUAUUUUGUGUAAUUUUUGUGAGAUGUGGUUCAAAAACUGACCUCCUUCUUUCAUUGGGUUCAAGCUGGGAUAUCUGAACUCUUCCUAUGUAACCCCAUUAAACAUUCUCUGCAGCACUUUUGGGGGGUCUUUUUAACCACUUUACAUAGAAGUUAUAUGCAACCUUUAGAAGCAGAUCUAUAUCUUCUUUUUCUCAUCUCUGAUUUUAAUUGUCUUUGUGUUAAAUUUCAAACUCUUUCUUGCAAGUAGUAUACUCAUUUAAUAUCUAAAUGCCAGCUGAGACUUUAGUUCUCACACACAAAGAGAAAAUGCAAUCAACAUAACCAAACAUAUUUAGUUUACUCCUAAUUUGAGGACUUCUUAAAAUAUUUUCAUAUUCCAGUAAACAUUGCCAUGGGUAUUUUAGGUAUAUGUAAACACAUUACAUGUAAACAGAAUGCUUUUGCAAAACAGAUUGACUUGAAAAAUAUUCACUUGAAUUGUCAUGGCAUUAUAUAGUAUAUUUAGACAGAUUUUUGGCAUUAUUUUAUUUUCCUAAUGCCUCCUUUCAUGGAUAUUAGAAUCUUGACUCCUAAUAGAUAUGUAGUGUUCUCUAAUCCAGGUCUUAGAAAAAACAAUCACUAGAAUAAUUUCAUGGAGAAUAUUGAAUAGGUCAGUCCAUCAUGUGUUGAGCACAUGGCACGAGCUGCAUGCACUCUGCUAAAGCACAAUGUGCUUAUUAUCUUCCUUUAUCCUCAGAACAAUUCUGAAUUAUUAUUGUUGUUUCCAUUUUAAAAAUAUAGACACUAAAUCUUAGAGAACUUAAAUGAUUGAAUUUCCUGUCCUAGUUUAAAUGCUGUUAUUCACUUUACUCCCAUCGGUGAACUACAAAGAGUAAAAUGGUUCCAGUAUCAGAUGUUAGCUUCUUUUAAUAUUCUUGGAUGAGAAACUUAACUUCAGUAACUAAGUGAAUAGUCCUGAUUCAUUUUAGAUCCUUUGCCCUAAUUUUGUUCUGGGCUAAAGAGUUCUGGAUUAUGAAGGAAAAUUGUUCUGUUAAUGGUAGACAAAAAUGUCAGCAUAACAGUGCUAGUUCUCUGGGAUCUUUCUAGGCAGUGAUUUCUUUGCAGCAUUUUUCACUUAAAAUAGAUACUCUGGGCAGGGCUAUUACUUCUUUAUAACAGCAUUAAAUGUCUUCCAUGUUAUAUUACUGUAGUUAGGUAGAAAUUUAAAUAUAGAUGGAAAAAUCUUAAUUUUUUUAUCAAUAGUCUACAUGGAAGCUAUCCCCUGCACAACAAAAGGGAAAAGAAAAAAAAACUCUAGAUAGAGAAAAAUAUAAAUUAUUCCCUAUCAAGAUAUUCUGCUUUUGAAAAUUCUAUCCCCAAAUGGAAUCAUCUUCCCAUUGGCAUUCCUUGUUGAAAUAAAAGCACAUUUCCUAAUAAAGGAAGUGAAUUAAAAAG
rnacentral:lncRNA from 9 species